GACGAACCACACGAACGUUAUUCGGAAUUACUGGGCUUAAAGGGUGCGUAGGCGGCGCAGAAAGUUGGGUGUGAAAUCCCUCGGCUCAACCGAGGAACUGCGCCCAAAACUACUGUGCUUGAGGAAGAUAGAGGUAAGCGGAACUUACGGUGGAGCGGUGAAAUGCGUUGAUAUCGUAAGGAACACCUGUGGCGAAAGCGGCUACUGGGUCUUUCUGACGCUGAUGCACGAAAGCCAGGGAGCAAACGGG
rnacentral:rRNA from 1 species